UACGUAGAGUGCAAGCGUUAAUCGGAAUUACUGGGCGUAAAGCGUGCGCAGGCGGCUUUGCAAGACAGAUGUGAAAUCCCCGGGCUCAACCUGGGAACUGCAUUUGUGACUGCAUCGCUCGAGUGUGGCAGAGGGGGAUGGAAUUCCGCGUGUAGCAGUGAAAUGCGUAGAUAUGCGGAGGAACACCGAUGGCGAAGGCAAUCCCUGGGCCUGCACUCGACGCUCAUGCACGAAAGCGUGGGGAGCAAACAGG
rnacentral:rRNA from 1 species